rnacentral:rRNA from 1 species
GUGGGGAAUAUUGGACAAUGGGGGGAACCCUGAUCCAGCCAUGCCGCGUGUGUGAAGAAGGCCUUUUGGUUGUAAAGCACUUUAAGCGAGGAGGAGGCUACCGAGAUUAAUACUCUUGGAUAGUGGACGUACUCGCAGAAUAAGCACCGGCUAACUCUGUGCCAGCAGCCGCGGUAAUACAGAGGGUGCAAGCGUUAAUCGGAUUUACUGGGCGUAAAGCGCGCGUAGGUGGCCAAUUAAGUCAAAUGUGAAAUCCCCGAGCUUAACUUGGGAAUUGCAUUCGAUACUGGUUGGCUAGAGUAUGGGAGAGGAUGGUAGAAUUCCAGGUGUAGCGGUGAAAUGCGUAGAGAUCUGGAGGAAUACCGAUGGCGAAGGCAGCCAUCUGGCCUAAUACUGACACUGAGGUGCGAAAGCAUGGGGAGCAAACAGGAUUAGAAACCCGAGUAGUCC